GUCAAAAUAAAUCAAAAGAUUUAGUGCUUCCAGACCUCAAACAAUGUAAAGAAAACAAGUUCAUAUUCAUUUAGAAACAACAAUACUAAUGUUUUAACUCGGGAAGAGUUCAGAAGCCAAUAUUUGGUGGAAUAACCAGGAGGUUUUCUAUGGGGUUCAGCGCAGUGGGCUCUUAGUUUUUUCCAGAGCUGUAGCUUUCUUUCAGCCUCCUGACCAGCAGUGCACAGAAACAGGUGUGGCAGCGCUGACUUACUUUCUGUUUCAUUUAGCUGGAGAAAACAC